UGGGGAAUAUUGGGCAAUGGAGGCAACUCUGACCCAGCAACGCCGCGUGAGGGAAGAAGGUUUUCGGAUUGUAAACCUCUGUCCUUGGGGACGAAGAAAGUGACGGUACCCAAGGAGGAAGCCCCGGCUAACUACGUGCCAGCAGCCGCGGUAAUACGUAGGGGGCAAGCGUUGUCCGGAAUUACUGGGCGUAAAGGGUGCGUAGGCGGUUAUUUAAGUCAGAUGUGAAAUCCCCGGGCUUAACUCGGGUGGUGCAUUUGAAACUGGGUAACUAGAGUGCAGGAGAGGGAAGCAGAAUUCCUAGUGUAGCGGUGAAAUGCGUAGAUAUUAGGAGGAACACCAGUGGCGAAGGCGGCUUUCUGGACUGUAACUGACGCUGAGGCACGAAAGCGAGGGGAGCAAACAG
rnacentral:rRNA from 1 species